GGAAGAGUGGCAGAGCGGUUCAAUGCACCGGUCUUGAAAACCGGCAGUCCUUCACGGGGCUCGUGAGUUCGAAUCUCACCUCUUCCA
rnacentral:tRNA from 1 species